GUCAGAAAAGAUUCGUCUGCUACUGACAGGGUCGCCUGGGGCAUGCCACGGUGACGUCAGCUGACAUAGCGGAGUUAUCUCAACAGCCAUGAAGUUCCUUGUGCUCGGAGUGUCUGUUAUCCUCGCUUUCGGGGUCGUCAGCAGCGAGCGGUGCAGCGGCAGUGACGCCAGCACCUGCUCCCGAGAGAAGAGCGACACCAACUACCAGCUAUCAUGCGUCAAUGACGAGUGCACCUGCCUCGUCUCUGCUUGCUUCACCAGCCAACGUGAGGCGCUGUGCACACUACUGGACAAACUCUUAUUUUACAAUACGACGAAACCUCUUAACUCGAAUCCAUUGUCUCGAUAUACCGUUUGAGACAACUUUCCCCUAUUUGACCCCUGUAGAAUCGUUAUUGGCUCUUUGAUUCUUUUUUUCUCGGUACUACAGCAUUGCUAUUUGGCCCAUAUAAUGCCGUUACAACGUUAAACUCACUCACUCACUCACUCACUCACUCACUCACUCACUCACUCACUCACUCACUCACCCUCGGUGCUACGCGUAACUCGAUGUGUGUUCGACUUCGAGUUAUUGAAGUCUCUCUGAUUCACUGGGUUACUUCUACUAUGCAUAUUCCAGACGGAGUGGAGAAUGUUGUUUGAAGCCAUAGUCCGUAAGCUGUGUCACUUGAGGGGGCAUGCGUGGCCCAGUCGUCUAAGGGGCCGCGAUUCGCUGUGCAGAGUUGCGUCCCUUGGGCA